UGCGUAGGUGGUUUCUUAAGUCAGAGGUGAAAGGCUACGGCUCAACCGUAGUAAGCCUUUGAAACUGGGAAACUUGAGUGCAGGAGAGGAGAGUGGAAUUCCUAGCGUAGCGGUGAAAUGCGUAGAUAUUAGGAGGAACACCAGUUGCGAAGGCGGCUCUCUGGACUGUAACUGACACUGAGGCACGAAAGCGUGGGGAGCAAACAG
rnacentral:rRNA from 1 species